rnacentral:rRNA from 1 species
GACGAACCGUACGAACGUUAUUCGGAAUUACUGGGCUUAAAGGGUGCGUAGGCGGCGCGGAAAGUAGGGUGUGAAAUCCCUCGGCUCAACCGAGGAACUGCGCUCUAAACUACCGUGCUCGAGGGAGAUAGAGGUGAGCGGAACUGAGGGUGGAGCGGUGAAAUGCGUUGAUAUCCUCAGGAACACCGGUGGCGAAAGCGGCUCACUGGAUCUCUUCUGACGCUGAGGCACGGAAAGCUAGGGUAGCGAACGGG